rnacentral:tRNA from 1 species
GCGGCGGUGGCUGAGUGGCUGAAAGCGAUUCCCCGCUAAGGAGUUGGCAGGUAUCCCCUGCCCGCAAGUUCAAAUCUUGCCCGCCGCG